ensembl:lincRNA
GAACAAUCAUUACACAUUAUUCACUGGGGCCUACCUUUUGGCAGGGGCUAGGUGCAGCAUCAGUACUGGAGAAAAAUCUCAAAAACGGACAAAAUUCUCCGGUGUUGCAAGGUUAUGUUCCAGAGCAUGGAAGUGAGUUUAUCAUCCUCACGUGGCCCUGCUCAACAGCAAGAACACUGGGAAUUGAGUCUCCUAUGUGAAGAAGGGAGAGGUGAUGGGAUUGAGAGCAAGCACUGAUUUUAUGCACAUGGGUAGUAUGAGUUCUAUUUCUACAGCUUCAGAAUCCAAUUGGCAACUGCCUCAUCAUUUGGCAGGCAUCUGGCCUUUCAC